CAGUUAGUUGCCACCCAUUUCGCAAGCGCUUCAGUUCAUUUUUUCGAUUUGGUUUCAUCCACAGGUCUGUGGCGACUUGCACUCUCCAAAAUAGUGCUUUGCCGAGUCCGCUAGCAUCAACCUCAUUAGCUGUAAACUGUGUUGUUCAUCUCUAUGGCUGCAGCAGGAG